GACGAACGCUGGCGGCGUGCCUAAUACAUGCAAGUUGAGCGCUGAAGGUUGGUACUUGUACCGACUGGAUGAGCAGUGAACGGGUGAGUAACGCGUGGGGAAUCUGCCUUUGAGCGGGGGACAACAUUUGGAAACGAAUGCUAAUACCGCAUAAAAACUUUAAACACAAGUUUUAAGUUUGAAUGAUGCAAUUGCAUCACUCAAAGAUGAUCCCGGGUUGUAUUAGCUAGUUGGUGAGGUAAAGGCUCACCAAGGCGAUGAUACAUAGCCGACCUGAGAGGGUGAUCGGCCACAUUGGGACUGAGACACGGCCCAAACUCCUACGGGAGGCAGCAGUAGGGAAUCUUCGGCAAUGGACGAAAGUCUGACCGAGCAACGCCGCGUGAGUGAAGAAGGUUUUCGGAUCGUAAAACUCUGUUGGUAGAGAAGAACGUUGGUGAGAGUGGAAAGCUCAUCAAGUGACGGUAACUACCCAGAAAGGGACGGCUAACUACGUGCCAGCCGCCGCCGUAA
rnacentral:rRNA from 1 species